rnacentral:rRNA from 1 species
AUACGGAGGGUGCAAGCGUUACUCGGAAUCACUGGGCGUAAAGCGCGCGCAUGCGGUCUUUUAAGUUGGAUGUGAAAGCCUACGGCUCAACCGUAGAACUGCAUCCAAAACUAUUAGACUAGAGUGUGGGAGAGGAAGAUGGAAUUAGUUGUGUAGGGGUAAAAUCCGUAGAGAUAACUAGGAAUACCAAAAGCGAAGGCAAUCUUCUGGAACACUACUGACGCUGAGGCGCGAAAGCGUGGGGAGCAAACAGGAUUAGAAACCCCGGUAGUCC